rnacentral:rRNA from 1 species
AUGAGUUGGCCCAAGACGAAGAGAGCUUUGCCGAGAGAGUUCGUGCCUCCAACCUACACGGAACAACUUCUACGCCAAUUGGAGAACACCACCCAAGGAUCCAAGUCCAUCGACACGUACUUCAAGGAGAUGAAGAUUGCCUUGCGACGAGCCGGCGUGGACAACCCCAUUUCGAUGAAGUUCCACUUCAUGAUGGGAUUGCACAACGACAUCUCCAAGACUAUCUUCCUCGGGAACUACAAGUCCCUCGAAGACAACUACAUUGGUGCUCUCAAGGCGGAACAAGAACUCAUGAAGGCCAAGGCUUCUCCACCCCAAGCACACUUCUCGACGACCAAGCUCCAUGACAAUGAGCAUGAGGAUAGUACCACCAAGAUGUCCAAGCCCGACGAGCUCCAAGAUGACGGUCCCAAGUUCGACUUCACCGCCAUCCCUCUUUGUGGCAUUGAUGAUGCCGAGUCUUCCAUGACUCUUUUUGAAGACGGUGCGGCGACGACUACGACUACGGAGACUCUCAAGGACCAAGUUUUAGAGGCAAGCGACAUGGUGACGAGCAAGGAUGAUGCUUCCAUCGUUGGAGGCGAGAGUGAUGAUGUGCCAUCUUCGGCCUUCAUCCACGGCAAUGAUGACGAGAUGGUUGAGCAUGGGAUUUUCCCUUCGACCACGAUGACGUAUGAUGACUUGAGUGACUUGUGCCACCAUAUUGAGCGUGAGAGUGACUUCACCACUAGCCCCAUAUAUGAUGAGUUGCCCCGAUUCCAAUGUGAGGAGAGCCACAACCCCCACCACUUGAGUGAGAUGAGUGACUCCACCAUAUGUGAGAUUGAGUGCAACUACUUUGAGGGAGUGAGUGAACCACCACAUAGAGACAGUGAGAUAGUUGAUAGGUCUCGUGAGGCCAUUUGCAUCUCUAACAACUUGACCUCUACCUCUAUUGUGUCUUCUCAUUUGGUGCUAGGUCCCAUCUAUGAUGACGCGCCGAUUCAUGAUGACUUGGUCCUUCAUUUGGACAAGACGAUGGCCAUGGUGGAAUAUGAUGCACCCCGGCCCCCAUAUGGUUCCAUCAAGAUGAAGAUGACCACCAUUUGGUCUUUCCCACCUCACUUACACCACAUGAGUGGAAUGACAAUGGUAACAAAGGUGACGGUGAUGCGCUAG